AACACGUCCCUUAGAUCCACCUCUGGGGAACUCAUGGUUUAGAGCUGUUCUUUCUAUCUCUGGAAAGUGCAGCUGAAGUCUUGAGAUUCUCAGCAGCUUUUCUGGCUGUACAGUUGGAGGUGCUUGAGUCAUUGACGUGUGAGAGCAGUCUACCUGCCACAUCCAGCUUCACUGCAGCACUGGCCUCCUCUCAAUGGAUGACACCCAGUGCAGCAAAGGUGAAGGGCGGACAGC